GCGGAAGUAGUUCAGUGGUAGAGCGUCAGCUUCCCAAGCUGAAUGGCGCGGGUUCGAAUCCCGUCUUCCGCUCCA
rnacentral:tRNA from 1 species